rnacentral:rRNA from 1 species
AUUGAACGCUGGCGGCAUGCCUUACACAUGCAAGUCGGACGGUAACAGGUCUUCGGAUGCUGACGAGUGGCGAACGGGUGAGUAAUACAUCGGAACGUGCCUAGUAGUGGGGGAUAACUACUCGAAAGAGUGGCUAAUACCGCAUGAGAUCUACGGAUGAAAGCAGGGGAUCGCAAGACCUUGUGCUACUAGAGCGGCCGAUGGCAGAUUAGGUAGUUGGUGGGAUAAAAGCUUACCAAGCCGACGAUCUGUAGCUGGUCUGAGAGGACGAUCAGCCACACUGGGACUGAGACACGGCCCAGACUCCUACGGGAGGCAGCAGUGGGGAAUUUUGGACAAUGGGCGAAAGCCUGAUCCAGCAAUGCCGCGUGCAGGAUGAAGGCCUUCGGGUCGUAAACUGCUUUCGUACGGAACGAAAAGCCCCGGGUUAAUACCCUGGGGUCAUGACGGUACCGUAAGAAUAAGCACCGGCUAACUACGUGCCAGCCGCCGCGGUAACAC